AGGCCCCGGGUUAAAUCGGGGACGACGGUAGGGUUGGUAAUAAGGGUGAAGUCGUAACAAGGCAUCCGUAGCGGAAGCUGUGGAUGAAUCACCUCCUUU
rnacentral:rRNA from 1 species